CUGUCUUUGGUAAUCUGGAUGUCAUUUUCUGAAGUUGAUAUGUAACACUAAAGACACACACGGACCUAAAGGGAGGGCUGAAGGAAACAAACGUGAUGCUAAAUGAGAUUCUGCCUCUUAGCAUUUUACAGCCUCUCCCGGGAGUCCGCAGGGCAUCUUACAUCUCCUGUAGCUCCAUAAUGACUCCCAUCCAGUCCAGGAGAGAGGCGGAUCGUCUCUACCUGACCUUCCCUGAGGUCAUCUUUGGCUUGGCUGCUUGUUGUCUAAUGGCCACAUUCUUGAAUGACAACCUGGCCUGCGAAGGUAAAGACAAACAACAGCUUCUUUAAAGGGAGGUCUGUUUGAUGGCUGCUCCUCUUCCUCCGCGCUGUCGUCCUCCUCCAGAGUUUCACCGCUGGAGAAGUGGAUGACCCUCCUCUGUUUGGACACGUCAGGGCCCCCAAACUCGGCUUCCUGGAUGUC